rnacentral:piRNA from 1 species
UUCCUCAGAAACCUUAGUGGUGGUAC